CCUACGGGUGGCAGCAGUGAGGAAUAUUGGUCAAUGGGCGCGAGCCUGAACCAGCCAAGCCGCGUGAGGGAGGACGGCCCUACGGGUUGUAAACCUCUUUUGCCGGGGAGCAACGGGCGUCACGUGUGGCGCCACUGAGAGUACCCGGAGAAAAAGCAUCGCCUAACUCCGUGCCAGCAGCCGCGGUAAUACGGAGGAUGCUAGGGGUAUCCGGAUUUAUUGGGUUUAAAGGGUGCGCAGGCGGAUGUGCAAGUCAGCGGGCAAAUUGCGGGGUUCAACCCCGUACUGCCGUUGAAACUGCAUCCCUUGAGUGCGCGAGAAGUAUGCGGAAUGCGUGGUGUAGCGGUGAAAUGCAUAGAUAUCACGCAGAACUCCGAUUGCGAAGGCAGCAUACCGGCGCGCAACUGACGCUCAUGCACGAAAGCGUGGGUAUCGAACAGGAUUAGAUACCCGUGUAGUC
rnacentral:rRNA from 1 species